UGUUAAAAUACUGGUUCCCAUACAAUCACUGAAGUUAAGCAAGGUCGAGCCUGGUCAGUACCAAGAUGGGUGACUGCUUGGGUAUAUCAAGUGCUGUAA